rnacentral:rRNA from 1 species
CCUACGGUGUGCAGCCGUGGGGAAUAUUGGACAAUGGGCGCAAGCCUGACCCAUCAACGCCGCGUGAAGGAAGAAGGCUUUCGGGUUGUAAACUUCUUUUCUUGGGGACGAAGGAAGUGACGUUACCCACCACAUAAUCUACUGCUAACCACGUGCCAUCAGCCGCCGUAAGACGGAGGUGUCAAGCGUUAUCCGGAUUUCUUGGGUGUAAAGGGCGUGUAGGCGGGCUUGCAAGUCAGAUGUGAAAACCACGGGCUCAACCUGGGGCCUGCAUUUGAAACUGUAGGGCUUGAGUGCUGGAGAGGGGGGCAGAAUUCCAGGUGUAGCGGUGAAAUGCGUAGAGAUACGGAGGAAUACCAGUGGCGAAGGCGGAUCGCUGGACAGUAACUGACGCUGAGGUGCGAAAGCGUGGGGAGCAAACAGGAUUAGAUACCCGAGUAGUC